GGUCACUUUGGGCAGUGCCGAGUUUGUGGCUAUUGUCACUGGCUCUUGCAGGUGUUCGACAAAGAAGCCAAAGCCUCUUCCUUGCAAUUGGGCUGCGUUCAGGGAUACUGGCUUGUAGUCAUAUUUUACAGACUGGUUUCUUUUUGACUUAUUUACCAAAAUUCCCUCCAUGGUUCACGGGGUCUUCUCCAGCUCAACCAUUUAGUGGAGUAGUUGGCCUUGCGUUUGCUUUGUCACUGGCAAUACUUCUGUACCCUGUGGAGCCUCUUCAUAGGAAGAAAAUAGCCAGGAAAAUCAAGGAAUGAAAUGUAUCUAACUUUGUAUUGGCAAAGAUUGGUUAACAUGUAACCCAAAUACAACCUGCUUCUUUAGGGAAGCUGAGAUGUUGGUUGCUUUUGCCGGUUGUCUGGUACAUACUCCAGGUUGCUUAUAUUGUAAAGAGCAAGUGAGAUAAUUGUACUGAAGCAAAAACUGUGGCAGUGGAUCUAUGUUGCCAGGCAGAAAGCUCUCCUUGAGCAAAGUUGUUUAUAAGUGUAUAAAUGAGGCAAAU
rnacentral:misc_RNA from 1 species